UGUGAAGCGAGAUUGUUCAAC
rnacentral:piRNA from 1 species